rnacentral:lncRNA from 1 species
GAGCUUUAGAGUUUCAAAGAUACUUGUGUUUUUGCUUGUCUAUCCAUCUACUUUUGGCUAAUGGUUCCUCCUCUUCAUCAAAGGGUAUAUAGUUACCAUUCUCAACCAUAUCCCACAUAUCGAUGUGCAAGGGUUCAAAGAAUGCAAUCAUUCUUUGUUUCCAAUAAUCAAUCUUUUCCCCCUUGAAUAAAGGAGGGCGAUUUACAACAUAACCUUUGUUUUCCGACGC